GCGACGGGUUGAUAAAAGGCUCCAUUUUAAAGCAAUGGGGGAUCAUAUGACUGUGACCUUGACGUGUGAAAGGGGGGAGGGGCAGGUAGUUUGGGGCCCAGACCUUAGGCCUCUGCAAUUCUGGGGCGUUCUAGGCCCUUGAUAAGAACAUCAACAAGAGGGAUUUAUUUUCAAAGGUUACCAUUAGCAGUUCAUUCACUAAAGUUGAGAAUUCGGUAUUUUUAUAUUACGUGAAAUACAUGAUUUAAUUAUACUCCAAAAACAAAUUAAGGACAGGCCUUCUACACAAAUUGGAGGCAGCUAAAUGCUCUUUUGUGCCUGCAGCCCUCGGGUUGUUAAAGAGGCUGCUGAUGCAUGAGAAGUAAGUGACUGAUUUAACUCAUUGGGAUGCAGGAAGCGACCUGCCCUCUUUUGAAAAAAAGCGAGAGAGAGAGAGAAAGAGAGAGAGAGAGAGAGAGACUUCGAGCUUGAGAAGAGAGAGGGAGGGGAGAGGAGAGGAGGGAGAAGGAAAUGACAGAGAGAGAGAGAGAGAGAGAGAAAGGAGAGAGAGAACGCAGAGGGAGGGAGGCAGGGAGGGAGACCAAACCCCCGCUUUACUGCGUUGAAAGCUUCUGAAUUUCAAGCAGAAAGUAGAAGGAGCUCCAAAGGCAGUGAGCGUCUUUCCUUGGGCUGCGUGUGCCGAGCGUAGACAAUGAAAAUCUUCAUCCCCCUCCCCCAUUCCACUAGGCUACAAGAUUCUUGUUUUCGUUCCUUCUCACCGGUGGAAGAUGUGUAAAAUCAAAGAUGUAGAGGUGUGUAGUGAUUUUUUUAAAAGCCAACUAACCCACCGCACGGGCUGCGACGCGGAUUACCCGAGCGCACGCCGGCUGGGCGCAUUCUGGGGUCUCUGCGCAAGACCAGCUCUCAGCUCUCUCUCCUUUCCUCGGACUCUGGAGCGGGAGCGGGCCUUUCCCUCGGGUCGACCACGCCGUAGGGGACGCCGUGAAAAGAGCCGUCGCGCCCGCUGCCUCCUGCCCGCUGCGCAGAGGGCUCCGCCCGUAGAGGUCAACUUCCCUCACCCUUUUCUGUCUCCUGCUCGCCCUCCCUCCGCCCGGCCCAGGCGCUUGCAGCCCCAGACUGUGGCCACUGGCUGAGGAGUGCGAGUCGGCUGCGCUGCCCUGAGCCUAAUCCCUCUUCCGGGCCCAGACCCGAGGUCCGCGCUCCUGGGCAGUGGGGAAGCUUUAGUGAGCAGGCUUUUCUCUCCGCAGCAAACUCGUAGCCAGACCAGAUGGGCCGCCCAGCUCUCUCGGGACUAGGCAGGUGCGGUUGAGUUAAUUUUUCCGCAUUACAAAGAAAGAUGACCCAGCCCGCCCUUGGACUCUCUUUUCCCAAAAUCUCCCAACCAAACCCGCGGUAACGUUAUCAAAGGACACAGAGCCCAGGCAUAUCUGUGUGUUUAUCUUACAGGCACACACGCAAGGUUUUCUCUUUUAUAUGCUAGAUUUCAUCCCUGACAGCAGAAAAUGAUUGGCAACGGUUCUGACGGAGAACAUGCAAUAGCGUGGUCCUUAAAAACCUGCCAUUCCUUACAAGUGCCUUAGAAAGGAUUCAGGGCGAACCAACUGGGUUAAUUGCAUUCAGUAAAAUAACACGAUUACAAAAUUAGAUCUGUACCAGAGGGGUAAUUAACUUGGAUCCACGCCGUCAUUUGAAAACUAGAUUUAUAGGCUUAUGUAUGUUUUUAGGCGUGUGCUGUAAAUGGCAUGGAGAUAUAUGCAUAUGUAUACGCAGGCACACGUACCGUCUACACUUCCACGGAACAGACUAAUUAACAGCGGCUCUGGCAGAUGUGUCAGAGAUGAGCAGAGACAGGAGCUGGGCUUAUGAGUUAUGACUCUAGGGGUAGAGACUCAGAGCGGAGACAGGGGGAUGGGCAGGGAGAGAAGAGUGGUAAUCGCAGUGGGUCUUAUACUUUCCGGAUCAAGAUUAGAGGCUCUGCUCUCCGUGUUCACAGCGGACCUUGAUUUAAUGUCAUACAAUUAAGGCACGCGGUGAAUGCCAAGAGCGGAGCCUACGGCUGCACUUGAAGGGCACCAAAGCAUCUCAGGGUCAGAAAGGGGAAAAAGCAAUUGCAGGGAAUUUAGGGGGUAGUAAAAGGAACCCAUCUCUUGCCGCAUAAAUGCCCCCCACCCCCACCCAGGACUGAUUCUAGAAGCAACCUAGUGUUCGAAAGGGAAAGGCUCCUACUUUUCCAUUACAGCCGCGGAAAUCCGCAGGCAAAUCUCCGAGGAGAAUUUUAGGGAAGCUUCAUUGACAGCUGUCAGGAGAGCAGUAGUUCCCGCCUGUGCAAAUAUUCCAGAGAGUUAAAUCAUUUAGAAAGCACUAGUUCUUUCAAGAACAGGUAGUGUGAUUGUCUGCAGUCCUGGGCCAAGCUGGGAAAACAAAACAGCAGAGAGAAGUGUAACAUUAAAUAGCGUCCUGACCACACUGCGCAAGAAACAGCAAAUGAAA